GGAUGAGAUCGUACCAGCAUUGAUGAACUAGAUCCCAUCAGAAUUAUUAAGUUAAAAGUGCUUUUGGAUGAGUCUAGUACUAGGGUAGUGACCCUUGGAAGUCCUCUUGUUGCAUCUC
rfam:Solanum lycopersicum cultivar Heinz 1706 chromosome 6, whole genome shotgun sequence.